UGCAGUGUGUAUAAAGGACUGGGGGCUGAUGAAACCAGAGCAGAGAAGUAAUCUUACCUGCUAGAUGUGACAAUCAGCGCCACUCAUCAACAGCCUGCUGCUACCUCAAGGCCUGGCUCCUGUGGAGGCAGCCAGAGGAGAGAGACGUCCUUUCUGUCCGUUCCAGAAGACCAGUGCUGAUGAUCAGCCUCGAGGCACACCUGAACACAGCUGUCAAAAGUUCCUCAGCAGGUCAGUGAAGCCACAAUAUCAUAUACAUCACUUAUAAUCCAGAUUUUGUAGUGUUAUUUAUUUAUCUAUCCUUGCAUGAAUAUACUUUAUUAUUACUCCAACAAGAAUGCUUGAUAUCGCAGUGUUAUUGCAGUGCUGGUUCAGCAGCUAAGGUUUUGUGCUACUGAUCAGAAGGUCAUUAGUUCAAGCUCCAGCACUGCCAAGCUGCUACUGUUGGGCUUUUGAGUGAGACCCUUGGCCUUCUCUGCUCCAGCGGCGCUGUAUCGCUGACCCCAGCUUCCUAACAAGCUAGGAUAUGUGCAGAAAAGAAUUGCACGCUACUGUACAUGUAUACGUGAC
ensembl:lncRNA